rnacentral:rRNA from 1 species
UACGGAGGAUCCAAGCGUUAUCCGGAUUUAUUGGGUUUAAAGGGUGCGUAGGCGGCCUAUUAAGUCAGGGGUGAAAGACGGUGGCUCAACCAUCGCAGUGCCCUUGAUACUGAUGAGCUUGAAUACACUUGAGGUAGGCGGAAUGUGACAAGUAGCGGUGAAAUGCAUAGAUAUGUCACAGAACACCAAUUGCGAAGGCAGCUUACUAAGGUGCAAUUGACGCUGAGGCACGAAAGCGUGGGGAUCAAACAGG